rnacentral:rRNA from 1 species
UACGUAGGGGGCCAGCGUUGUUCGGAAUUACUGGGCGUAAAGGGUUCGUAGGCGGUGUAGCAAGUCGGGAGUGAAAUCUCUGGGCUUAACCCAGAGGCUGCUUCCGAAACUGCUGUGCUUGAGUGUGGGAGAGGCGCGUGGAAUUGCAGGUGUAGCGGUGAAAUGCGUAGAUAUCUGCAGGAACACCCGUGGCGAAAGCGGCGCGCUGGGCCACUACUGACGCUGAGGAACGAAAGCUAGGGGAGCAAACAGG